rnacentral:lncRNA from 1 species
AUGUCCCAAAUUCCCCAAAUUCCCAAAAAUUCCCCAAAAAAAGGGAAAAUUCCUCAUUCCAGGGGGGUUGGAAUAUCCAAAAAUUCCCAGAAUUCCCAAAAUUCCCCAAAAAAGGGGAAAAAUUCCUCAUUCCAGGGGGUUUGGGAAGCCAAAAAUUCCCAAAAAUUCCCAAAAUUCCCAAAAUUCCCAAAAUUCCCCAAAAUUCCUCAUUCCAGGGGGUUUGGAAUAUCCAAAAAUCCCCAAAAUUCCCAAAAAAUGGGGAAAAUUCCUCAUUCCAGGGGGUUUGGGAAGCCCAAAAUUCCCAAAAAUUCCCAAAAUUCCCAAAAUUCCUCAUUCCAGGGGGUUUGGAACAUCCCAAAAUUCCCAAAAAUUCCCAAAAUUCCCCAAAAAUUCCCAAAAAAAGGGGAAAAUUCCNNNNNNNNNNNNNNNNNNNNAAUUCCCGGGAAUGGGGAGGGGUUGGAUCCCGGGAAUUCCCGGGGUUUGGGAGGGGUUGGAUCCCGGGAAUUCCCGGGAAUGGGGAGGGGUUGGAUCCCGGGAAUUCCCGGGGAUGGGGAGGGGUUGGAUCCCGGGAAUUCCCGGGGGUUUGGGAGGGGUUGGAUCCUGGGAAUUCCCGGGGGUUUGGGAGGGGUUGGAUCCCGGGAAUUCCCGGGAAUGGUGAGGGCUCGGAUCUUCCUUCAUUCCCAAAGCUCGGCCGGGAAAAUUCCCAAAAUUCCCAAAAAUUCCCAAAAAUUCCCCAAAAAAAGGGAAAAUUCCUCAUUCCAGGGGGUUUGGAACAUCCCAAAAUUCCCAAAAAUUCCCAAAAUUCCCCAAAAAUUCCCCAAAAAUUCCCAAAAAAGGGGGAAAAUUCCUCAUUCCAGAGGGGUUGGGAAGCCCAAAAUUCCCCAAAAUUCCCAAAAUUCCCCAAAAAAGGGAAAAUUCCUCAUUCCAGGGGGUUGGAAUAUCCAAAAUUCCCAAAAUUCCCCAAAAUUCCCAAAAUUCCUCAUUCCAGGGGGUUUGGAACAUCCCAAAAUUCCCCAAAAUUCCCAAAAAUUCCCAAAAAAUCCCAAAAAUUCCCCAAAAAAUAAAAAAAAAUUUGGAUUAAAAAUUCCAAAAAAAUUCCCCAAAAUUCCCAAAAAAUCCCCAAAAAUUCCCAAAAAUUCCCAAAAAAGGGGAAAAUUCCUCAUUCCAGGGGGUUUGGAACAUCCCAAAAUUCCCAAAAUUCCCAAAAUUCCCAAAAAUUCCCCAAAAAUUCCCAAAAAAUUCCCCAAAAAAAGGGAAAAUUCCUCAUUCCAGAGGCUUUGGGCAGCCCCAAAUUCCCAAAAUUCCCGAAAAAAGGGGAAAAUUCCUCAUUCCAGGGGGUUUGGGAAGCCCAAAAUUCCCAAAAAUUCCCAAAAUUCCCAAAAUUCCUCAUUCCAGGGGGUUUGGAACAUCCAAAAAUUCCCAAAAAUUCCCAAAAUUCCCCAAAAAUUCCCCAAAAAAGGGGAAAUUCCUCAUUCCAGGGGGUUUGGAAUAUCCCAAAAUUCCCCAAAAUUCCCAAAAUUUCUCAAAAAUUCCCAAAAAUUCCCCAAAAAUUCCCCAAAAAUUCCCAAAAAAGGGGAAAAUUCCUCAUUCCAGAGGGUUUGGGAAGCCAAAAAUUCCCAAAAUUCCUCAUUCCAGAGGGUUUGGAAUAUCCCAAAAUUCCCCAAAAUUCCCAAAAGUUCCCAAAAAUUCCCACAAAUUCCCAAAAAAAGGGAAAAUUUCUCAUUCCAGAGGCUUUGGGCAGCCCCAAAUUCCCAAAAUUCCCGAAAAAAGGGGAAAAUUCCUCAUUCCAGGGGGUUUGGGAAGCCCAAAAUUCCCAAAAUUCCUGAAAAAAGGGGAAAAUUCCUCAUUCCAGAGGGUUUGGAACAUCCCAAAAUUCCCAAAAAUUCCCAAAAUUCCCAAAAUUCCUCAUUCCAGAGGGUUUGGAACAUCCCAAAAUUCCCAAAAUUUCCAAAAUUCCCAAAAAAGGGGAAAUUCCCCAAAUUCCCGAGGGUUUGGAGCAUCCCAGGGUGGGAAUUUUUGGGACAUUCUUGGGAAAAUUCCCGAUUUUUCCCCCCCUCAUUCCCAGUUUUUUUUGUGCUUUCUCUUCCCAGUGAAUCGACGCCGACGGAAUCCCGGAAUUCCCAAGGAAUUCCUAAGAAAUUCCCAAGGAAUUCCCAAGGAAUUNNNNNNNNNNNNNNNNNNNNUCCCAAAAUUCCCAAAAUUCCCCAAAAUUCCUCAUUCCAGGGGGUUUGGAAUAUCCAAAAAUCCCCAAAAUUCCCAAAAAAUGGGGAAAAUUCCUCAUUCCAGGGGGUUUGGGAAGCCCAAAAUUCCCAAAAAUUCCCAAAAUUCCCAAAAAAGGGGAAAAUUCCUCAUUCCAGGGGGUUUGGAACGUCCCAAAAUUCCCCAAAAUUCCCAAAAUUUCUCAAAAAUUCCCAAAAAUUCCCCAAAAAUUCCCCAAAAAUUCCCAAAAAAGGGGAAAAUUCCUCAUUCCAGGGGGGUUGGGAAGCCAAAAAUUCCCAAAAUUCCUCAUUCCAGAGGGUUUGGAAUGUCCCAAAUUCCCCAAAUUCCCAAAAAUUCCCCAAAAAAAGGGAAAAUUCCUCAUUCCAGGGGGGUUGGAAUAUCCAAAAAUUCCCAGAAUUCCCAAAAUUCCCCAAAAAAGGGGAAAAAUUCCUCAUUCCAGGGGGUUUGGGAAGCCCAAAAUUCCCAAAAAUUCACAAAAAAAAGGGAAAAUUCCUCAUUCCAGAGGGGUUGGGAAGCCCAAAAUUCCCCAAAAUUCCCCAAAUUCCAAAAAAAUUCCCCAAAAAAACGGAAAAUUCCUCAUUCCAGGGGGUUUGGAACAUCCCAGAAUUCCCCAAAAUUCCCAAAAUUUCUCAAAAAUUCCCCAAAAAAGGGGAAAUUCCUCAUUCCAGGGGGUUUGGAACAUCCCAAAAUUCCCAAAAUUCCCAAAAAAUCCCAAAAUUCCUCAUUCCAGAGGGUUUGGAAUAUCCCAAAAUUCCCAAAAAUUCCCAAAAAAAGGGGAAAUUCCUCAUUCCAGAGGGUUUGGGAAGCCCAAAAUUCCCAAAAAAAGGGGAAAUUCCCCAAAUUCCCGAGGGUUUGGAACAUCCCAGGGUGGGAAUUUUUGGGACAUUCUUGGGAAAAUUCCCGAUUUUUCCCCCCCUCAUUCCCAGUUUUUUUUUGUGCUUUCUCUUCCCAGUGAAUCGACGCCGACGGAAUCCCGGAAUUCCCAAGGAAUUCCCAAGAAAUUCCCAAGGAAUUCCCAAGGAAUUCCUUCUUUUCCCGCCCAUCCUGGGAGCCGGAAAACCGGGAAUGUCGAGAUUCCCCCCCCUGGAAUUCCCGGAUCCGUCGGAUUCCUUGGAAAAACGAGGAGGAAGAUGA